UACGUAGGCAGCAAACGUUGUUCGGAAUUACUGGGCGUAAAGAGUGUGUAGGCGGUUCUGUAAGUUUGGGGUGAAAUCUCCUGGCUUAACUGGGAGGGUGCGCCGAAAACUGCAAGGCUUGAGUACUGGAGAGGAUAGCGGAAUUCCUGGUGUAGCGGUGAAAUGCGUAGAUAUCAGGAGGAACACCGGCGGUGUAGACGGCUGUCUGGACAGUAACUGACGCUGAGACACGAAAGCGUGGGGAGCAAACAGG
rnacentral:rRNA from 1 species